rnacentral:rRNA from 1 species
UACGUAGGGUGCAAGCGUUGUCCGGAAUUAUUGGGCGUAAAGAGCUCGUAGGUGGCCUGUCGCGUCGGCUGUGAAAACUCGGGGCUCAACUCCGAGCUUGCAGUCGAUACGGGCAGGCUAGAGUUCGGCAGGGGAGACUGGAAUUCCUGGUGUAGCGGUGAAAUGCGCAGAUAUCAGGAGGAACACCGGUGGCGAAGGCGGGUCUCUGGGCCGUAACUGACGCUGAGGAGCGAAAGCGUGGGGGAGCGAACAGG